rnacentral:rRNA from 1 species
GAUGAACGCUGGCGGCGUGCCUAAUACAUGCAAGUCGAGCGAACAGACGAGGAGCUUGCUCCUCUGACGUUAGCGGCGGACGGGUGAGUAACACGUGGGUAACCUACCUAUAAGACUGGGAUAACUUCGGGAAACCGGAGCUAAUACCGGAUAAUAUAUUGAACCGCAUGGUUCAAUAGUGAAAGACGGUUUUGCUAUCACUUAUAGAUGGAUCCGCGCCGCAUUAGCUAGUUGGUAAGGUAACGGCUUACCAAGGCAACGAUGCGUAGCCGACCUGAGAGGGUGAUCGGCCACACUGGAACUGAGACACGGUCCAGACUCCUACGGGAGGCAGCAGUAGGGAAUCUUCCGCAAUGGGCGAAGGCCUGACGGAGCAACGCCGCGUGAGUGAUGAAGGUCUUCGGAUCGUAAAACUCUGUUAUUAGGGAAGAACAAAUGUGUAAGUAACUAUGCACGUCUUGACGGUACCUAAUCAGAAAGCCACGGCUAACUACGUG